CCUACGGGUGGCAGCAGUGGGGAAUAUUGGACAAUGGGGGGAACCCUGAUCCAGCCAUGCCGCGUGUGUGAAGAAGGCCCUCGGGUUGUAAAGCACUUUCAGUGAGGAAGAACGCCUGGUGGUUAAUACCCAUCAGGAAAGACAUCACUCACAGAAGAAGCACCGGCUAACUCCGUGCCAGCAGCCGCGGUAAUACGGAGGGUGCGAGCGUUAAUCGGAAUUACUGGGCGUAAAGCGCGCGUAGGUGGCUUGAUAAGCCGGUUGUGAAAGCCCCGGGCUCAACCUGGGAACGGCAUCCGGAACUGUCAAGCUAGAGAGCAGGAGAGGAAGGUAGAAUUCCCGGUGUAGCGGUGAAAUGCGUAGAGAUCGGGAGGAAUACCAGUGGCGAAGGCGGCCUUCUGGACUGACACUGACACUGAGGUGCGAAAGCGUGGGUAGCAAACAGGAUUAGAUACCCCUGUAGUC
rnacentral:rRNA from 1 species